UACGAAGGGGGCUAGCGUUGCUCGGAAUCACUGGGCGUAAAGGGUGCGUAGGCGGGUCUUUAAGUCAGGGGUGAAAUCCUGGAGCUCAACUCCAGAACUGCCUUUGAUACUGAAGAUCUUGAGUUCGGGAGAGGUGAGUGGAACUGCGAGUGUAGAGGUGAAAAUUCGUAGAUAUUCGCAAGAACACCAGUGGCGAAGGCGGCUCACUGGCCCGAUACUACGCUGAGGCACGAAAGCGUGGGGAGCAAACAGG
rnacentral:rRNA from 1 species